rnacentral:tRNA from 1 species
GCCCUGGUGGCGCAAUGGUUAAGCGCUCAACUACUAACUGAAAGGUUGGUGGUUCGAACCCACCCGUUGGCU